GGGUUGUGAGGUUAAGUGACUAAGCGUACACGGUGGAUGCCUAGGCAGUCAGAGGCGAUGAAGGGCGUGCUAAUCUGCGAAAAGCGUCGGUAAGGUGAUAUGAACCGUUACAACCGGCGAUACCCGAAUGGGGAAACCCAGUGUGUUUCGACACACUAUCAUGUCAUGAAUACAUAGUGGCAUGAGGCGAACCGGGGGAACUGAAACAUCUAAGUACCCCGAGGAAAAGAAAUCAACCGAGAUUCCCCCAGUAGCGGCGAGCGAACGGGGAGAAGCCCAGAACCUGAAUCGGCUUGUGUGUUAGUGGAAGCGUCUGGAAAGUCGCGCAGCAAAGGGUGAUAGCCCCGUACACUAAAAUGCACAGGUCGUGAGUUCGAUGAGUAGGGCGGGACACGUGACAUCCUGUCUGAAUAUGGGGGGACCAUCCUCCAAGGCUAAAUACUCCUGACUGACCGAUAGUGAACCAGUACCGUGAGGGAAAGGCGAAAAGAACCCCGGCGAGGGGAGUGAAAUAGAACCUGAAACCGUGUACGUACAAGCAGUGGGAGCACCUUCGUGGUGUGACUGCGUACCUUUUGUAUAAUGGGUCAGCGACUUAUAUUUUGUAGCAAGGUUAACCGUAUAGGGGAGCCGUAGGGAAACCGAGUCUUAACUGGGCGAAUAGUUGCAAGGUAUAGACCCGAAACCCGGUGAUCUAGCCAUGGGCAGGUUGAAGGUUGGGUAACACUAACUGGAGGACCGAACCGACUAAUGUUGAAAAAUUAGCGGAUGACUUGUGGCUGGGGGUGAAAGGCCAAUCAAACCGGGAGAUAGCUGGUUCUCCCCGAAAGCUAUUUAGGUAGCGCCUCGUGAACUCAUCUUCGGGGGUAGAGCACUGUUUCGGCUAGGGGGCCAUCCCGGCUUACCAAACCGAUGCAAACUCCGAAUACCGAAGAAUGUUAUCACGGGAGACACACGGCGGGUGCUAACGUCCGUCGUGAAGAGGGAAACAACCCAGACCGCCAGCUAAGGUCCCAAAGUCAUGGUUAAGUGGGAAACGAUGUGGGAAGGCACAGACAGCCAGGAUGUUGGCUUAGAAGCAGCCAUCAUUUAAAGAAAGCGUAAUAGCUCACUGGUCGAGUCGGCCUGCGCGGAAGAUGUAACGGGGCUAAACCAUGCACCGAAGCUGCGGCAGCGACGCUUAGGCGUUGUUGGGUAGGGGAGCGUUCUGUAAGCCGUUGAAGGUGGCCUGUGAGGGUUGCUGGAGGUAUCAGAAGUGCGAAUGCUGACAUAAGUAACGAUAAAGCGGGUGAAAAGCCCGCUCGCCGGAAGACCAAGGGUUCCUGUCCAACGUUAAUCGGGGCAGGGUGAGUCGACCCCUAAGGCGAGGCUGAAAAGCGUAGUCGAUGGGAAACAGGUUAAUAUUCCUGUACUUGGUGUUACUGCGAAGGGGGGACGGAGAAGGCUAGGCUGGCCGGGCGACGGUUGUCCCGGUUUAAGCGUGUAGGGGGUGUGACCUGGUAAAUCCGGUUGCAUAUCAACCCUGAGGCGUGAUGACGAUGCACUACGGUGCAGAAGUAGUUGAUGCCCUGCUUCCAGGAAAAUCCUCUAAGCUCCAGGUAACAUUAAAUCGUACCCCAAACCGACACAGGUGGUCAGGUAGAGAAUACCAAGGCGCUUGAGAGAACUCGGGUGAAGGAACUAGGCAAAAUGGUGCCGUAACUUCGGGAGAAGGCACGCUGGCAUGUAGGUGAAGUCCCUCGCGGAUGGAGCUGAAGCCAGUCGAAGAUACCAGCUGGCUGCAACUGUUUAAUAAAAACACAGCACUGUGCAAACACGAAAGUGGACGUAUACGGUGUGACGCCUGCCCGGUGCUGGAAGGUUAAUUGAUGGGGUCAGCCGCAAGGCGAAGCUCUUGAUCGAAGCCCCAGUAAACGGCGGCCGUAACUAUAACGGUCCUAAGGUAGCGAAAUUCCUUGUCGGGUAAGUUCCGACCUGCACGAAUGGCGUAAUGAUGGCCAGGCUGUCUCCACCCGAGACUCAGUGAAAUUGAACUCGCUGUGAAGAUGCAGUGUACCCGCGGCAAGACGGAAAGACCCCGUGAACCUUUACUAUAGCUUGACACUGAACAUUGAGCCUUGAUGUGUAGGAUAGGUGGGAGGCUUUGAAGCGUGGACGCCAGUCUGCGUGGAGCCAUCCUUGAAAUACCACCCUUUAAUGUUUGAUGUUCUAACUCUGCCCCGUGAUCCGGGGUGAGGACAGUGUCUGGUGGGUAGUUUGACUGGGGCGGUCUCCUCCCAAAGAGUAACGGAGGAGCACGAAGGUUAGCUAAUCACGGUCGGACAUCGUGAGGUUAGUGCAAAGGCAUAAGCUAGCUUGACUGCGAGAGUGACGGCUCGAGCAGGUACGAAAGUAGGUCUUAGUGAUCCGGUGGUUCUGAAUGGAAGGGCCAUCGCUCAACGGAUAAAAGGUACUCCGGGGAUAACAGGCUGAUACCGCCCAAGAGUUCAUAUCGACGGCGGUGUUUGGCACCUCGAUGUCGGCUCAUCACAUCCUGGGGCUGAAGUAGGUCCCAAGGGUAUGGCUGUUCGCCAUUUAAAGUGGUACGCGAGCUGGGUUUAGAACGUCGUGAGACAGUUCGGUCCCUAUCUGCCGUGGGCGUUGGAAGAUUGAGAGGGGUUGCUCCUAGUACGAGAGGACCGGAGUGAACGCACCACUGGUGUUCGGGUUGUCAUGCCAAUGGCAUUGCCCGGUAGCUAAGUGCGGAAAAGAUAAGCGCUGAAAGCAUCUAAGCGCGAAACUUGCCUCAAGAUGAGUCUUCCCUGGGACUUUAAGUCCCCUGAAGGAACGUUUAAGACUAAGACGUUGAUAGGCUGGGUGUGUAAGUGCAGCGAUGCAUUGAGCUAACCAGUACUAAUGAUCCGUGAGGCUUAACCUUACAACACCGAAGGUGUUUUAG
rnacentral:rRNA from 1 species